rnacentral:snoRNA from 1 species
UAGCAGGCCGUUCAGGGAGGCUUGGCCUGCAGAGGUUCAGUCUGUCCUUUCCUGUAGUGUCUGCUAGAGAGAACUGGGGUGGUUUUUAGGUCAUGUUGUGUGUCCCCUCCAUGGCAAGGUAAACCACACACCAAU